rnacentral:rRNA from 1 species
CUAAGAAUAUUCCGCAAUGGACGGAAGUCUGACGGAGCGACGCCGCGUGGAUGACGAAGGCCGAAAGGUUGUAAAGUUCUUUUGCUGGGGAAGAGUAACCGCAGGAGGGAAUGCCUGUGGGAUGACAAGAACCGGCGAAUAAGCCCCGGCCAACUACGUGCCAGCAGCCGCGGUAACACGUAGGGGGCGAGCGUUGUUCGGAAUUACUGGGCGUAAAGGGCAUGUAGGCGGCUUGGAAAGCCUGGCGUGAAAGUCUGCAGCUUAACUGCAGGGGUGCGCUGGGAACUGCUGAGCUUGAGUGACGGAGAGGGAGCUGGAAUUCCUGGUGUAGGGGUGAAAUCUGUAGAUAUCAGGAAGAACACCGAUGGCGAAGGCAAGCUCCUGGCCGAUGACUGACGCUGAGGUGCGAAAGUGUGGGGAUCAAACAGGAUUAGAUACCCUGGUAGUCCACACAGUCAACGAUGUGCACUAGGUGCUGGGGCGGUAGCUUCGGUGCCGGAGCGAACGUGGUAAGUGCACCGCCUGGGGAGUAUGCUCGCAAGGGUGAAACUUAAAUGAAUUGACGGGGUCAUAGCUGUUUCCU